AUGCUGCAGUCUCUGGCCAGUCUUCAGGCGUGGUUGGAGGCGGUGGAGCUGUCCAUCAGGCAGGCGUCUCUGGCUGGAGACCCCGAGUCCGUGAGCGUGGCGGAGCAAGAGAGCUGCCAGCUGGAGCAGGAGCUUGAGGCCAGACGUCUGGAGCUGCAGAACCUCAGACAGGAAGUAGAUUAUCUGAGCAGUCAAAGACAUCUUCACACUCAGCUGCUUCCUGCACGCCUGAAGGACGUGGAAAUGAAGUUCAGCAGUGUCCAGAUGGCACUGACCCAACAGAGCUCAGAGCUGAAGGACACGCGGAUGCUCACGGACUUCCUGGAGAAACUGGAGCUCGAGGAAAGCCACUACAGCACUCUGGGACAGCCGCUGUGCGGUGAGCUGGACUCUGGCCCGUCUCUUCUGGGCUCGCCGGUGAGCAGACAUGACGAGCCCCUGAUGGAAGCCAUUGGGAACCCUGUGAAGGAGCUCAGAGAAGCAGUGGAGAUGCUCAAUGACACGGCGCGGGAGAGGGGCCGCUCGCAGUCACAUGACCAGAGCAUCCAGGAGCUGAUCACCAGGCAUGCCAUGGUGUCAGCGCACGUGGAGCAGUGUCUGCAGCGCUGUGCGGAGCUCGCCGUAGAUGUGCUGGAGAUUGAAAGUGAGAUGGCUGUGAGAUGUGAGCCGGAUCGCUGUGGUCUGGAUGACCUGCAGGAGUACCAGGACCAGCUGGAGGCUGAAUACAGGGUCUUGAAGGAGGAGGUGGAGGCCAUGGUGAGUCUGGCGAGCUGUUUGUCAGACGUGUGCCCGGAGAGGAUGAACGCUGUAGUGACUGAGAUUCAGACCAGCCUGAACGCUUGGGACGAGCUCGGCAAAAGUGUGGCUGAAAACAAGAAGAGACUCCUGCAGUUCGGACACCUGCGCCAUUUCUUUAGGAACUACCUGGCAAUGAUGUAAGUCAAUGAUAAAUCAAUUAAAUGAGACUUUGUUUUACCUCACAUUUUGUUAAAGAUACAUAAGAAGAACACGUACAGGUCAUAAUUCACCCUAAAACCGAUAGAAAGGAAUGAUAAUUAAUGUGCAUAGUUUACAUAAAAGAGAACUGUUUUUAGGACCAUCAGACUUUUUUGCAUUAUGAUAUUUUCAUGGUAUAGCCUAUAUGAUAAACAAUUGAUAAAAACGAUAAACUAUUUUCC
rnacentral:lncRNA from 12 species